UUGAUGCGGCAGCAUAAGACUGAAUUGAGGGAGGACUUAUAUGAUUCUACCCCUUUUCAUUUUUGUGCUGCUUUGGAG
rfam:Haemonchus contortus, ISE/inbred ISE, WGS project CAVP01000000 data, contig: Hcontortus_18525